AUUGAACGCUGACGGCAGGCUUAACACAUGCAAGUCGAGCGGGGGAAGGUAGCUUGCUACCGGACCUAGCGGCGGACGGGUGAGUAAUGCUUAGGAAUCUGCCUAUUAGUGGGGGACAACAUCUCGAAAGGGAUGCUAAUACCGCAUACGUCCUACGGGAGAAAGCAGGGGAUCUUUGGACCCUGCGCUAAUAGAUGAGCCUAAGUCGGAUUAGCUAGUUGGUGGGGUAAAGGCCUACCAAGGCGACGAUGUGUAGCGGGUCUGAGAGGAUGAUCCGCCACACUGGGACUGAGACAAGGCCCAGACUCAUACGGGAGGAAGCAGUGGGGAAUAUUGGACAAUGGGGGGAACCCUGAUCCAGCCAUGCCGCGUGUGUGAAGAAGGCCUUAUGGUUGUAAAGCACUUUAAGCGAGGAGGAGGCUACUUUAGUUAAUACCUAGAGAUAGUGGACGUUACUCGCAGAAUAAGCACCGGCUAACUCUGUGCCAGCCGCCGCGGUAA
rnacentral:rRNA from 1 species